rnacentral:piRNA from 1 species
UUAGCUUGUGGAGAAGGUCCUAACUCA